AACCGCAUGGGAUAAUCAUUUUCCCGUGGGGUCGUGUUAAGUGGACCGCACGGGAUAAUCGAUUAUCCCGAUGCGGUC
rnacentral:pre_miRNA from 13 species